AUUGAACGCUGGCGGCAUGCCUUACACAUGCAAGUCGAACGGCAGCACGGGAGCAAUCCUGGUGGCGAGUGGCAAACGGGUGAGUAAAGUAUCGGAACGUGCCCAGUCGUGGGGGAUAACGUAGCGAAAGUUACGCUAAUACCGCAUACGAUCUAUGGAUGAAAGCGGGGGAUCGCAAGACCUCGCGCGAUUGGAGCGGCCGAUAUCAGAUUAGGUAGUUGGCGGGGUAAAGGCUCACCAAGCCGACGAUCUGUAGCUGGUCUGAGAGGACGACCAGCCACACUGGGACUGAGACACGGCCCAGACUCCGACGGGAGGCAGCAGUGGGGAAUUUUGGACAAUGGGCGAAAGCCUGAUCCAGCCAUGCCGCGUGCAGGAUGAAGGCCUUCGGGUUGUAAACUGCUUUUGUACGGAACGAAAAGGUUUGGCCUAAUAAGCUGAGCUCAUGACGGUACCGUAAGAAUAAGCACCGGCUAACUACGUGCCAGCCGCCGCCGUAA
rnacentral:rRNA from 1 species